rnacentral:rRNA from 1 species
UGGGGAAUAUUGCACAAUGGGCGGAAGCCUGAUGCAGCGACGCCGCGUGGGGGAUGAAGGCCUUCGGGUUGUAAACUCCUUUCGACAGGGACGAAGCUUUUGUGACGGUACCUGUAUAAGAAGCACCGGCUAACUACGUGCCAGCAGCCGCGGUAAUACGUAGGGUGCGAGCGUUGUCCGGAAUUACUGGCCGUAAAGAGCUCGUAGGUGGUUUGUCGCGUCGUCUGUGAAAUUCCGGGGCUUAACUCCGGGCGUGCAGGCGAUACGGGCUGACUUGAGUGCUGUAGGGGAGACUGGAAUUCCUGGUGUAGCGGUGAAAUGCGCAGAUAUCAGGAGGAACACCGAUGGCGAAGGCGGGUCUCUGGGCAGUAACUGACGCUGAGGAGCGAAAGCUUGGGUAGCGAACAGGAUUAGAUACCCUGGUAGUCCAUGCCGUAAACGGUGGGCGCUAGGUGUAGGGGGCUUCCACGUCUUCUGUGCCGUAGCUAACGCAUUAAGCGCCCCGCCUGGGAGUACGGCCGCA